AAGCAUUACACAUUUGCAUUUCAAUAUUUAUCAACAACAAGUUGUCGUGUUUCAGGUGUAUAGACGUAUGACAUGGUAGCAUUCAUAAUAAAUGUAUGAUACGACGUUCAAACUGUUCAUGUUCAAUUGAUGGGUAAGACAACUCUAUCUAUGAUAUGAACGACAAUUUCAUUCGUUGACAUUUUGCUGGAUGUUCGACUUUAUUAUUAACUGUCUUCAAUUGGUAACGACAUAGUACUUGUAUCUAUUGAAAUACAGUGAUUCUUCGGACUGAAA